CCCUUCUACACAGUCUCUCUGGUGGAAGCUUUCUCUCUUCCUCUCCUUUUUCUCUUUCUCUACCUAAAUAAAUCACUUUCUGCAAACACUGUUUGGGGUCCAAUAUUUUACAAGGGCACCUGCAUUGUCCCUUCUCUCAUUCUUAAGAAAGCAAGAAACCAAGAGCCUGGAGCCCACUGGGGAGAGGUCUAAGUGUUCCCCUGAACCCCAAAACCCCAUUUGGUGAGCCAGCCAGGAGAAGACGACUUCAAAUCUCAUCAGCAACUUCAUUCAUUAUGCGGCUGGUGAAAGAGACAUUCAAAGAGGUGAAACAAUUUGCCCAUGUACACACAACCAGCAAAUUGCAGAGCCAGACUAAUGUCAAAAGUAGAAGAUCACUGACUGCUGGGUGAAAAUAUACAAGGUAAGUGUGAAUAAAUCUACUUAAUACUUAGCAGUAUGAAAAGUAAAAUUUAGAGUUUCAGAAUAAAUGCAUUAUGUUAACAUCAUAUACUUAGAACUCAUUAGUAUCUACCAAUACAUAUUGUAUACAUGAUAUGUAAAAACAUAUGUAUAUAUGUAAUAUAUGCUAUUUUAUCAGUCAUGGUUUCAGGAUAGUAUAUUUAAUUAUAUAUUAAACUUACAGCACCCUCAAUAUGGUAAGAUCCUCAAAUACACUCAUGCAUUAAAUACUUUUUGAGCAUGGCAUGUGAGACAGAAUUCAUUGUGUUCAGUGGAAAAUGAGUUAAAUAGGUUAGCAGAUAGUUGUCCUCUAUUCUCCUCUGAUCUUAAGUGCAAAGAAAAUGGCCUGAAAAGGCACUGAAGCCAAAACAGUGAUUCUCGACCUGGGCUUCCCAUCAGAAUUACCUAGAGUACAUUAAAUUCUUUGCUUGUGUCCCACCCUCAUAUAUUUUUAAUUAAUUGGUUUGAAAUCUGCCUUUGAGGAGAUUGAAGACAAUUAUUUGUCCUAAAAGCUUUCUCAAUUAUUUCUAAUUUACAGCCAAGAUUUCUUAAAUUAAUGGUUCUCAAACUUGUUUGCAUAUUUUAAUGUCACAGGGAACCUUUACAUAAAUAUGUGCAUGACCAGACCAUGUCCCAGAUAAAAGGGGUUGGGUGUGGGGGUGAGGUUGAGACAGUCUUAAAGCUUCUCAACUGUUACUGGAAAGGGGUCCCAAUCCAGACCCUAGGAGAGAGAUUUCUUGGACCUCACAAAGAAAGAAUUCACGGUGAGUCCUUAGAGUAACAUGAAAACAAAUUUAUUUAGAACGUAAAGGAAUAAGGAAUGGCUAAGCCAUAGACAGGCCCGCAGCAUGGGCUGCUUGACUGAUUAUAUUUAUAGUUAUUUCUUGAUUAUAUGCUAAACAGGGGGUGACUUAUUCAUGAGUUUUCUGGGAAAGGGACAGGCAAUUCCCUGAACUGAGGGUUCCUCCCUCUUUUAGACCAUAUAGGGUAACUUCUGACAGUUGCCAUGGCAUUUGUAAACUAUCAUGGCGUUGGUGGAAGAGCCUUUUAACAUGCUAAUGUAUUAUAAUUAAUGUAUAAUGAGCAGUGAGGACAACCAGGGGUCACUUGUGUCACCAUCUUGAUUUUGCUGGGUUUUGGCUAGCUUCUUUACUGAAUCCUGUUUUAUCGCCAGGGUCUUUGUGACCUGUAUUUUGUGCCAACCUCCUAUCUUGUCCCAUGACUAAGCAUGUGUAGGGCUGGGUGCUCACGCCUGUAGUUCCAGCACUUUGGGAGGCUGCAAGGUGAGUGUAUCAGCUGAGGUUAGGAGUUCAGGAUCAGCCUGGCCAACAUAGUGAAAACCCAUCUCUACUAAAAAUACAAAAAAAUUAGCUGGGCAUGGUGGUGGAUGCCCGUAAUCCCAUCUACUCGGGAGGCUGAGGCAGGAGAAUUGCUUGAACCUGGGAGGUAGAGGUUGCAGUGAGCAGAGAUUGCACCACUGCAUUCCAGCCUGGGCAACUAGAGCAAAACUCCAUCUCAACAACAACAACAACAAGAAAAAGAAAAAGAAUGUAUAACUUACCGGGCAUGCGGCCCAUCAGGUCUCAUCCUUAUUUCACCCACCCCUACUCAAGAUGAAGUUGUGGUGGUUUAAAUGCCUCUGAUAAAACUUAUUUCAAUAUGCAGGUAAGUUAGAAAAUCAUUAUUCUGCAGAAUUUGUAUGCUCUUUACCCAGUUCUCCAUUCAGAUAUGAACUAGACUUUGAGUAUUUGCCUUAUUAGAACUUAAGAGAAAUUAAAGAAAAAAAAAAAGAGCUUUGGGAAGGUAUUGACAAUAUUGGUUUUUCUAAGGUGUGAGGAGGUAUUUUUCAUGAGAUCAUAUGAAUAUCACGUGUACUCCAUAAGUAUGUAUAAUUAUUAUAUAUUCAUAAUUAAAAUUUUUAAAGAAAAACUUAAAAAAUAAUAAAGACAAUGACAAUAAAUCAAGCAUGUUCUUGAGAAUUUCCUGUAGAACACUCCACCAUAGCUUGAAAUCCAUAUGGCUUUUAGUUUCUUUUUUUUAUGCACAAGGAUGACUAAAAAUUCCAAACUGAGCAAACAACAACCGAAAAAGUUCUGGCAGCACAAAUAUAACAACUUUUUACUAUGCCAAGUACUGAAAAUCCUGCUGUUAGUUGUUUUUAUUUCUGCAUGUGUGGAUGAACUUGCCAUAUGAACAAGUCAGGUAUGCUUAAUGAAUCAUGGACAAGCAUGGAUGCCCUCCAGUGGAGCUUCGCAGUCUUCAAGAUGCAGCAAUUGGAAUGAAUGGAAUUGUUUUACCUUUAGCCAUUAUAUCAGAUGUCAUCAAUUUCUUGAUCCAAUUAGUUCUCAUUUAUACAUAGUAAUGCCUAUUGACUUCUCAAUUCACUUCUACCAGUGUGAGCAGAUAACAACUUUCGUUUCUUCCCUUCCUUCUGGUGGUGGCUGUGAUCAGGGUAUCAGGGUUUGGGUUGGGAACAUGUGUAGCAGAGAAUGAGCCCUGGAUAAGGGUUCAAGAAAAGGUAUUUAGUUCUUGUUCAGCCCCAUAUUGCCUAUGUCACUUAAUUUCGAGAGUUUUAGCUUCUUUAUUGGUUCAGUCAGCAUAGUUUUAACACCUGCCUGAAGGUCUCACAGUAUGGCUGUGAGGAACAAAAUUAGUUUAGUAUGUCAUCAUAAUGUGAGGCAGCCAAAAAAUGAAAGAUGCAUGGUACUAGUAGGGGCAAAUGAGGAUCUCUGGAAAUCAGACAUGCCUAUGGAGGUGGUAUAAGUGCUGUGGGUGUUGACCUAGGCUAAGGAACAUUUUUUCCCUGAAGUGGAAGAAGAGAUUAUCCCGUUGCAAGAGUUAGGGGCCAGGGGUUGCAGAAGGAAAGUGGAAAUAUUGGGUCAUUUCUAGGAAUGUAAGUUUCUUUGAUAGAGUUACCAGAUAAAUCACUGGACAUAGGGUUAACUUUGAAUUCGAGAUAAACCGUGAAUAGAAUGUUCACUAUAUGUAUUUCCCAACUAUUGCAUGAAAAAUACACUAAAAAUUAUUCAUUGUCCAUCUGAAAUUCAUGUUUGUUUGUGCAUUCUAUAUUUUGAUUUGCUUAAUCUGCCAACACUAAUCUUGGGAUAGUUGGGGCUGGCCAUUUUGCUCCUUUCAGUUAUUUUUUGGAGGAGAAAGUUUCAGGUAUUUCUAACUUGCUAUGUGCCUUGAUACAUUGUUGAUUGACACAUGAUACUUAAAUAUUGAUAGCAUUUUAUGGUUUCUGAAGCAGAUUUAUAUAUAUAUAUAUAUAUAUAUAUUGUUUAUGAAGUACAUUUAUAGAAAUUAUUUGCAAAAUUCUUAUAAGUUAGGCAUUAUCAUUCCCACUUUAUAGAUAAGAAAACUGAAAAUCAGAGUUUUCAGGUUACGAUGCUUGUUCAAGUUUCUAUGGCUGUUUAAUGAAAUAUUUAGCAAUUAGAAACAGUUCUUUGAUUAUAUGUGCAAUGUUAUUUCAACUAUGCCCAAGCUGUCUCUUAAACUGAUUAGAUCUCAGCGUUUUAUGUUUUACCAGAAGCAGAUUUUCUUUUUUGUUUUCCAUUAUCUAAAACUAGUCCCAGCAGGCAUUACUUCUAAUCCAGUUGUUUUGCUUGUAUGAUUCUAUUGAAGAUUUAGUAUUAAUGAGAUCGCUGUGAGUAAAAUAUACAGCACUUUGAAUUUGUCACUGUAGCUUCUCUUAACAAAUGAAUUGAACAAAUGUAGUGUUACAAGAAUUUACAUUUUCUGCCCAGUUGGAAACCCAACGAUUUAUUUGCUCCACAAUUUUAAAUAGCGACUUUUUAUAAACAGUGUCCCAAAUUGACUUCAAAUAACAUAAUUAUAGUACAAUAUGUUCUCCUAAAACCUUCUCUAGAUUUGUAUGCAUGGUCAUUGCAUGGCAAAUUGUAACUAAAUUUCUCCGGUGCAGCACGUUUUCAAAGAGGACAUCAGCAAGAAGUGUUUAAUAGCAAUAAUACACAUGUAGUGACGCUGUGGAAUAGUGAUUCUCAGAGUGUGGUCUUCUCAACUAGCAGCACCAACAUCCCCUGGGGCCUUGUUACCGAGCUAGAAAUCCCUCGAUCUCAACCUAGACCAGAAGCAGAAACUCUGAGGCAGGGUUCAGCAGUUUGUGUUUAACAAGCCCUUCAGGAGAUUCUGAUGCAUGCAAAUGUGUGAGAACCAUUACAGGACUAGCAUCCUGCAGUACCUCCUGAGGGUGAAGAGUGAAUCCUGGCUUUGAAAAGCUAAUUGAGACACAGUUCUCUUCCAAGGAUACUUCUGUGGACAUCAUUGGUAAGUCCACCCCUUGGUUCCCUAAAAUCUUUACAUGUCCCAACUUUCUCAGCAGGUGGGGGAGUGAAAACAGUCAAAAUAAUGGAGAAAUAGUUAUGAAAUUCAGUGAACUGAAUUAAUUGUUAAAUGCAAGUAUAAGCAUUCAUCCAUUGUUAGGAGAAAACGUACAUUUACAAACUCUUGUUACAUAUAUAAGGUACUAUCAUCAGCAUUUUGCACACGUCUCAUUUAGUUCUCAUAACCAUCCUACCAUAGAGCCAUUAUCAUGACCACUUCAUAGAUGACAGAAAUGUUAAGUACCUUGCUCAAAGUUACACUGCUGGUGAGUGACCUUUGUUUGGUUUAUAAUUUAAUUAUAGUUCAUCUCUUUAAUGAGCGUCCCUGGCCUCUCCACAGUAUAACAGACAUCUCCUAUUGCCACCUACCUUGAAAUUGGCUCUCAUCAUCUUACAGUGCAGUUUCCUAUUCAUUUGACAGAUAUCUUGAAACCAGGGGGUGAAUAUCAAAAGGCUAAUCUAGAGGAGUAUGUGGAAGCAUUUCAGUUUCUCACUCUUGGCCCACACAGACAAACCUUUUAAGAACUCCCUAUAAUAAAGCACAUCAAUAUGUUAAUGUCACAGUUUUAUACUUUACAAAGUAAAUUCAUCAAUAACACAUAUAAGGAAAUUUAAUGUGUAUCAGAGUUAGUAUUAGAGAUUAGUAGGGAAAAAAAUGACUAUUUAACAUGUGGUGAUUUUGGACAAUUGGUUACCAGAGAAGUGAAAAACAAAACCCUAAAUUCAAUCCCUACUUUACAGCCACCAUAUAUAUUUUUAAAAAUCUCAAGUGCAUUAAAAUCUAAAUGUGAACUACAAAAGAUUAAAUACGUUUAGAAUAUCUAUAUAUAUGAAAACGUUAUGAUCUUCUGGGUUAAGAGUUUAUUUUAAAAGAUUUCUUUUAAAAAAGACUGACUAUAUCACAAUUUAAAACAUUCUUAUGACAAAAAGAAAAUACCAUGAGAAAGUUAAAAGACAUAUGACAGAUUAGAAGAUAUUUACAAUAUAUACAAUGAAGAAAGGGCUAGAAACCAAAAUAGAUGAAAACAUUCUACAAGUGAAUAAGAAGAGUAUGAACAAUUCAGGAGAAAAAUCGACACUAAAUACAAAUAGGUAAUUUACAUUAGACAAAACUGAAUGCAGAAUAAAUACAUGAAAAGAUGCUAUAGCUUUAUAUUAACCAGGGAAAUAAAAAUAUCAACAGUGAAAUACCAUUUUAUAGUUUUCAUGUUGGCAAAACUAUAAAAUCUGUCAAUAAUCAGUAUACUUCAUAGAUUAGGCCAAUCAUUUUGCAGAGGACAAUUUGGAAAGAAUAGAAAAUCUAAAUAUGUACAAACACUAAAAUCCAGCAAUUCUACUUCUAGAUAUGAUUUCUAUGGAAGUUUUCCUAUUUGAGUGCAAAGAGGUAUAUGUCAUAAGUUCACUGCAGUGCAGUAUAUAAUAGUUAAAGAUUGGAUAUAAUUUUAAUGUCCAUCAAUAGGAAAAUGGACAGAGAGUUUGGUAUAUUUAUGAGGUAUGAUGUUAUGUAGCAGUUAAAAAUAAUGAAAUAGAUCUGUGCAUCAAUAACGAUAGACUGCUAAAAUCUAACUUUGAUGAAAAUAGCUAAUGUCUAGGAAGAUAUACAUAGUAUGGAUAUCAUGUGUGUAAUUUAAAAAUAUAUAUAAUAUUAAUAUAGAUAUAUAUUUGUGUGUCUGUACAUAUAUGUAUGGGAUUGGCAGAAUAAACAUAAAAUUCAGUGGUUCCCUCCAGGGAGAAGCGACGCAGGAGAAUGGGAAUGAGGAGGGAAUUCUAGAGACAAAUUUUAUGAUGUAAGUAUGUAAGUACGGAAAAAUAUUAACCUAAGUCUUUGCUGUUAUAGUCUCUGCAUUUUUUGUGUUAUUAAUCUUUUUUUUUCCUAACAGAGAAAAAAAUGCCCUGAAGCUCAGAGAGGUAUGUAAAUUGCAUGAGAGAGCCAAGGUAAAGAAAUACAUCACUGUGUAAAGGCCAAUUCAAAUGCAAUAGAAAGGCUAAUUACAUCAACAGAAAAGUGAAAUAUUUCAAAUGGGUUCAGAGAUUUUCAAGUCCUUUUUUAGUAAAACAUUGCUGACUAAUCCCUGCCCCAUUGGGAAGUGUUUCAGUAGACACAAUUGUUUUCAUGAACUUUGUUAUUUUUCUUAUUUUUUUAUUUUUAUUUUUUUUUGCGACAGAGUCUUGCUCUGUCACUUAGGCUGCAGUGCAGUGGCGCAAACUCAGCUCACUGAAACCUUUGCCUCCCAGGUUCAAGUGGUUCUCCUGCCUCAACCUCCCCAGUAGCUGGGAUUUCAGGUGCACACCACCAUGCCUAAUUUUUCUAUUUUUAGUAGAGACGGAGUUUCACCAUGUUGGCCAGGCUGGCCUCCAACUCCUGACCUCAAGUGAUCCACCCAUUUUGGCCUCCCAAAGUGCUGGGAUUAUAGGCGUGAGUCACCAUGCCAGGUCAACUUUGUUAAUUUUUAUGUUGGAGUUACAAAAUCUAUGUUGGUGCACUACCCCCUUUGUGGCUAUAGGUUGAUAACUGUGUUAGAACUGACACUAACACCUACUUUCACGGUCUUUGCAUUAUCACCAGAUGACACUCCCUGCUCAAAAAAAAAUGUAAUGUGAUUAAUUAAUGUUUCUCUUCUUUUUAGAAUUGCUUAUUGUAAUCCACUGCACCCUGACUAUCUGGUGGUAUGAGAUUUCAGAUGACCUAGUAAGUAUCCUUCUACUUGACUUCUUAAGGAGGGCUUUUUAUGAGAGCCCUCUCUAGAUUUAAAUGAACAGUGUUAAAAGUAGACAUAAUCAUUAAUAUUGACUAAAGAUUUUUAUAGUUUUGGAUAUAUCAGCUUGUUAAUAUAUAAUUUAAAACUUCUUAGGGUGGAAAACUGGUUGAUUGAAUACUGAAGAUUAGUGAGGAACAACAACAGCGUGAAUUAAGGGAUAAGGGUUAAGGUGACACUAGAGCUGCCUUUAUCUAGCUCUGAGACGUUGAAACAAUUUCUUGCACUCUCUGGGAUUCAGCUUCUCCAUCUGUACGUUGGUGAGAUGGACUAGUACAUUUCAUUUGUUGUCGGUAUCAGUAGCAUUUGUCAUAGGUGGUGAUUACUUCCUUGUCCUGGAACCAUUUUCUUCCAUUAACUUCUAAGGCAUUUCUAAGGCAUCUCUUAAUUUCCCCUUGUUUCACUAGCCCUCUUUCUUAGUUUCUUUAUUUGGAGUGACUCAAGCUUACUCCUUAGAUCUCUUACUUAUUUACUUAAUACACAUUCCUUUUAUCCUCUGGGCGAUUUCAUCUAGCAUCAUGAUUUUAAAGCCAUAUAUUUAUUUACAUUGCCCAAAUAUAGGUAUAUCUGCAGCUUUGAUUUUGUCUCUGAAUUUCAUAACAAUUUUUAACUUGACAUCUCGACUUUUAUGCCUAAUGUAUUGCUUGGAAUUAACAUGCCUAAAUUUUCACUUUCAAUUGCUGCCCCUCCUCUGCUCUAAAUUGCUCUAAAUUCAUCUUCCUCACACUCAUUAAAGGAAACAGUCUUUCCACUGCUCAGGACAAAUCCAUUGGCAUCAUAAUUAAUCUUCUCUUUCUUUUGUACUCCAUGCCUAAUGAGAUUAGCAAGUUUUUAAAAACAGUUCCCAAAUGGUAGUGUUUUAUUUUUAAUCGUAAUCUGUUUUUCCAUUUUGCUCAAAUAAUUAUUUCUGUAUAUUCCUACAAUUCUAAUUGAAGAUUUCUGUUAAUUAUUAGCAAAUCUUGCUGGUUAUAACUUAGAAAUACUCCAUAAUAUAUAAAUCAGUCCAAAACCCUACACUGAAGAGCAAUCCCUGGGAGUAGUAUCCCAAUUCAGAAAAGCAGAGACACCAGAGAACAGGUAGUUAAUAUAGCAGUGACAGAAGAGAGCCAGGAGAUCACAGUAAGUAUGUGGUCAUUUUUCAGAAUACAUUGCAAAAAUCAAAGAAAGCGAACUUUAUAGCCAUGAAGUAAAAAAAAAAGAAAAAAAAAAUCUAAUCACCACCUUCCUAGAAGUUUAAGAGAAUGAAUUUCACACAAAAACAGCAGAUUAUCAUGAGAGAACAUUAUACAAAUGUAUUAUUUAAAAAUAGAGGCUGGGCACGAUGGCUCAUGCCUGCAAUCCUAGCACUUUGGGAAGCUGAGGCAGGUGGAUCACCUGAGGUCAGGAGUUAGAGACCAGCCUGACCAACAUGGUGAAAUCCCGUCUCUACUAAGAUUACUAAAAUUAGCUGGGCAUGCUAGCCCAUGCCUGAAGUCCCAGCUGCUUGGGAGGCUGAGGCAGGAAAAUUGCUUGAACCCAGGAGGUGGAGGUUUCAGUGAGCCAAGAUGGCACCACUGCACUCCAGCCUGGGUGACAGAGCGAGACCCUGUCUCAAAAAAAAAAAAAAAAAAUUAUAUAACUCAUAAACAGAAUAAUAUCAGUACAGGCAAUGAAACCUUUCAUAGAAAGGUACAUCCAUAAAACAAAUGAAAUAUGUUACCUAAGAUUUCAAAACAAGCUGAAAGGAAUUAACAAAAUAAUAGAAGAUAUAUAAU